rnacentral:tRNA from 1 species
GGCUCGUUGGUCUAGGGGUAUGAUUCUCGCUUUGGGUGUGAGAGAUCCCGGGUUCAAAUCCUGGACGAGCCC